UUACAGGAAUCGUACCCGAAACCGACACAGGUGGUCAGGUCGAGUAGACCAAGGCGCUUGAGAGAACUCUGCUGAAGGAACCAGGCAAAAUGGUACCGUAACUUCGGGAGAAGGUACGCUGUUGUUGGUGAUGGAACUCGCUUCCUGAGCUGACGACAGCCGCAGAAACCAGGCCGCUGCAACUGUUUAUUAAAAACAUAGCACUCUGCAAACACGAAAGUGGACGUAUAGGGUGUGAUGCCUGCCCGGUGCUGGAAGGUUAAUUGAUGGGGUUAGCGUAAGCGAAGCUCUUGAUCGAAGCCCCAGUAAACGGCGGCCGUAACUAUAACGGUCCUAAGGUAGCGAAAUUCCUUGUCGGGUAAGUUCCGACCUGCACGAAUGGCAUAAUGAUGGCGGCGCUGUCUCCAGCAGAGGCUCAGUGAAAUCGAAAUCGCUGUGAAGAUGCAGUGUACCCGCGGCUAGACGGAAAGACCCCGUGAACCUUUACUGCAGCUUGACACUGAACUUUGACCUUACUUGUGUAGGAUAGGUGGGAGGCUUUGAAGCUGGAACGCUAGUUCCAGUGGAGCCGUCCUUGAAAUACCACCCUGGUAAUGUUGAGGUUCUAACUCUGUCCCGUGAUCCGGGACGAGGACCGUGUCUGGUGGGUAGUUUGACUGGGGCGGUCUCCUCCUAAAGAGUAACGGAGGAGUACGAAGGUGCGCUCAGCGUGGUCGGAAAUCACGCGUAGAGUAUAAAGGCAAAAGCGCGCUUAACUGCGAGACCCACAAGUCGAGCAGGUACGAAAGUAGGUCUUAGUGAUCCGGUGGUUCUGUAUGGAAGGGCCAUCGCUCAACGGAUAAAAGGUACUCUGGGGAUAACAGGCUGAUACCGCCCAAGAGUUCAUAUCGACGGCGGUGUUUGGCACCUCGAUGUCGGCUCAUCUCAUCCUGGGGCUGAAGCAGGUCCCAAGGGUAUGGCUGUUCGCCAUUUAAAGAGGUACGCGAGCUGGGUUUAGAACGUCGUGAGACAGUUCGGUCCCUAUCUACCGUGGGCGCUGGAAAUUUGAGAGGAUCUGCUCCUAGUACGAGAGGACCAGAGUGGACGAACCUCUGGUGUACCGGUUGUGACGCCAGUCGCAUCGCCGGGUAGCUAUGUUCGGAAGGGAUAACCGCUGAAAGCAUCUAAGCGGGAAGCCUACCUCAAGAUAAGAUUUCCCUAGGACUUUAUGUCCUCUAAAGAGCCGUUCGAGACUAGGACGUUGAUAGGUUGGAUGUGGAAGCAUAGUGAUAUGUGAAGCUGACCAAUACUAAUUGCUCGUGAGGCUUGACU
rnacentral:rRNA from 1 species